rnacentral:lncRNA from 1 species
UUUGUGGCUGCAGUGAACUAUGGUUGCACCAUUGCACCCCAGCCUGGGCGAUAGAGGGAGACCCUGCUUGUAAAAAGCAAGCCAAGCUCUUUACUGGCUGAAAUUGCAUGGAGUAAGGGAGGGAGUCGAAAUUCUGGGGCAGAGAACUACCUUUUGUUGUUCAUAUGUGUUUGUCUUUAAUAAUGUUCCCCAGUAUCUUAUGUUAAUGAGGAACAUUAAUGCUUUGACAUCGUUUCACGGUGCCACUUCAGGGAAUCACUCUUGCUUAUUCUAAGGAGGAUUUGGAGCUGUACCGAGCUAAAAGUCUGAAUUUGGAGAUGAUAGUGGUGACCUUAUAGGCAAUAUCAGGUACAGAUGGAGCUUUAAUAGUGAAAAAGUAGACUGCUCAGAUUAACAUCUCUGAAAGGUACGGAUACAAGUUAUCUACAGGGUAACACCUGUAGAUAUGAUGCAACAGGCUUAUGCCAUUGGAGAGUGAAUAGUCAACCUUCUGAAAACAGUGUACACCACCGGAAGGGCAAGAAAAAAAACUACAAUAUAGAACAUCUUUCUGACCUUGAGGUCAGGAAGUCCUCCUCGACAAGACACAAAAAAGAAAAAUCACAAAGGAAAAGAAUGACAACUUGACUCCAUCAAAAUUAAAAACAGGUGCACAUCAGAAUAUACCAUAUAUACAAUUAAAAGAUAAGUAAUGAUAUAGAAGAAACUAAUUGCCUCACACAAAGCAAACUUGGACUGCUUUCUAGAA